AUUGAACGCUAGCGGGAUGCUUUACACAUGCAAGUCGAACGGCAGCGCGGACUUCGGUCUGGCGGCGAGUGGCGAACGGGUGAGUAAUGUAUCGGAACGUGCCCAGUAGCGGGGGAUAACUACGCGAAAGCGUAGCUAAUACCGCAUACGCCCUACGGGGGAAAGCAGGGGAUCGUAAGACCUUGCACUAUUGGAGCGGCCGAUAUCGGAUUAGCUAGUUGGUGAGGUAACGGCUCACCAAGGCGACGAUCCGUAGCUGGUUUGAGAGGACGACCAGCCACACGGGGACUGAGACACGGCCCAGACUCCUACGGGAGGCAGCAGUGGGGAAUUUUGGACAAUGGGGGCAAGCCUGAUCCAGCCAUCCCGCGUGUGCGAUGAAGGCCUUCGGGUUGUAAAGCACUUUUGGCAGGAAAGAAACGUCGCGGGCUAAUACCCCGUGGAACUGACGGUACCUGCAGAAUAAGCACCGGCUAACUACGUG
rnacentral:rRNA from 1 species